GCUCCUCCCCGGCGGCGCGGCCGUUGGGAUUUGAAAUGCGGGCGUUUGGCGGGGCUGUGCCGCCAAAACGCUGGCGAUAUCGAGAAGAGCGAGCGUUUCAGCUCUCGGAAAGCUACACGAGAGCGGCGUUAACGCAAAGCCUUUAAUAGCUCAGCCGCUGCGGUGACGGAGGGGCCGGCUCUGACCUAUUUUCGCCCGAGUGCGUAAGGAGCGCGAAAAGGAGGCUUUGCGUUCCUUUUGAACCCUUAAAUUCGCGAACAGGCAUCUGGGCUGCCUGCGCCCCGAGCGCCGUGAGGUAACCGCGGAAAUAUGUGGCCGUAUCCAUUACCGUGCGCUUGUGGAAUCAGAAGAGUAACCGGGAGGUCAGCGAGCGAUUUGAGGAGACGCAGAUCCCGUGUAAGCCGAAGACCUGCCUGAGCCAGGGAACGCGAUUAUGCCGCAGUUUGGGUUUGUGCUGCAGAUGGCUUUUUAAUCUGAUUGCAUAACCUGGCAUUAGAGAACAAGGGUAGGUUCCGCUUAUGCUCCCAGUUGUGACUGAAGGAUUCAGCAAGCGGAGUUAGGCUGAGCAUACAGUAACAGGCAGCGGUUACGCAUAAGGGCACGUUUCGUGAUUAAAGGGAGGAACUGGAUAAGAGCUGGAAAAAAUAGCAAACCCUCCUUUGUUAUCGGCCCAGCGAAGCAUCUGGGUUCAAUUCCACGCCCUGCCACUGUGUAAUCUCAGAAAACAGACGUUUAGCUCACUGCUAAAGCUUCUUGUUAUUCGACCCUUUCAAAAACGAUAAUGAUGUUAAUGAUGAAAAACAAACGAAAACACACAACAAUAGGAGGCCUUACCUAAAGAAGAUAUAGGAAGCAUAUGCUUGAAACGCUGAGAGAAGUGUGAGUUCCAGGAAGUUUCCAGUGGAAAUCAAGAUAUUCUACAACAUUCCCUGAUGUUUCUGAUGAAAGAGCAACCAAAUCAACAGGAAGUCACUGGCCGUGUGUCAGAAAUCAUGGAAACAGUUGAUAUGGUGUAUUUUAAGUACUUUAGAUGCUGAGAUCUAUUUCUCACUGUAAACGUGAUAAAGAACAGUGAACAAAUCUCUUCUUCCUUAGCAGAAACAAAGUUCUAUCCUUUUAUCAUGCUCUUCUUUCUCAAAUGUCUCUCCCACUCCAGCACCCAUUAACUGCUGCUGCCUCCCAUUUAUUGUCCAACUGUUUAAGCAUAAAGCUGAAAACACAAGAAUGUUAAGAUUUACCUACCAACCACUUUUUUUUCUUUUUUUUCUUCACUGGAAUAGCUAAAAUGCAACUUUGUUUGGAUACUUAAUCAGGUAACAAAAUCUCUAUUAGCACACAUAGAGCUUACUGCAGGAGAACUAAGUAAGAUGAUAAGAGAGAAAAUCCUACCUUUAACCAAAAGAAUUAAAUUGGUGUAAAACUGGUGUUUUUCGGGCUUUGAGUCAUCCAGUUGAAGCCAAUGUUCCUUUUGUUUUCUUUUUAAAGCAUUCCAGCUUGCAAAAUGAAAAUUACGAGUGUAUACGAGUUUAUGUAACAGGUGCUUUUAUUAGAUUUAAAGCAGUAAAUAGGGUCCAAAAAUAAACACUGUAUUUUAAGAAUAAUCUAGGUGUUACAGGAUUAAAACUGAUAAGCCUGUGUACUGUAAAAGCUUUGAAGGUCUGUAAUGCAUGCCCCUUCACAGUUUGUACCAACUCACUUGUGCAAUAAGCAAAGGACCUUCUUUUGAAAAGCUUCAUUUUCAUGUGCAAAAAAAUGCAUAAACGUUGGUACAGAAACAUGAAGUGUUCUUUGCUGAAUAUAUAUGGCAGAAGUUAUUUGUUGUGGGAUUUAAACAUUAAAAUACACUUUACAAAUGAAAAGUAUGGGUCAUAUCCGAAUGCAUCUCAAGUGAGAUGUUUAAAGUAUAACUGUGUACGAGCACAGAGCCCACCUUUAGCUUUGUAUUGAGGUAUGUAUUAGGUUUCAAUAAUCUUUCUCCUCACAAGCCCCCAUUCAUGCAAGUUAGAAGAGCACAUCCAUCUGUUUGUUUCAGAGCCACUAUUGCACUGAUCAUUUGUCCAUCCAGGCUGCUUUGAUUAACAUUUCAUUUCACAUUCACGAUUUCACAGAUAACAGUCAGAAAUAAACCCAGCAAGAACCAACAGUAGUGCUCUUGUGAAAUGUAACGCAAUAACCAGAGAUCUAUGGCAAAAACUAUCACUCCCAGAGGUUUUGCUUAACAAUAUAAUAGAAAAUUAGCUAUGAAUAAUAGGUCCAACACUUGCAUAUGACUUAAGAGUUAUUUGUUAAUCCCUUGAGAAGAAAUAAAGAGCUGGGCCGGCUCUUUAUGUUGACAGCAAAAGAAACUCAUUUUUUACAGCGAAUUCUCGUGGUCUCUCUUGAUACCAGGAAAGCAAAGCAUAUAGUUAUUCUUACCAUCUUACCUUCUGAGAAGCACAAUUUCCUAGUUACAUAAACUUAGAUUUGACAUGGUCUUUAAUCACUUUUUACUUUGAAUAAUGCGUAUCUUUGUAGUUUUGUCUUGGGUUCUAGAAACGACAAUGCUCCUUUACACCAUCAUGAUCUCUUCUGAUUUGGGUUCUUUUUAUACAAAGGAAAACGGAAAACCUCAGCAUCCCUCUAUCCCAUUGUAGUGUCCUCAUCUUGGCAGCACAACUGUAAGCAUCUUUAGGUCUGACUACAUACUUCAAAUCAGCAGCAGCUACAGAGUGCUCCUUGGGAACAGGGGAACACUUCCUCCACCUCAAUCUACAGCACAUAAUUUAAAAAUUCUUCAGAGGAUGAUUAUCUGCAUUCAGUUAGCAGAAACUAAGUAAAUUCUGAUACUACUAUGGAUACUUUCAUAAAAAUAAAAUGAAUAAAAUUAUGUUUAAAUGUU